rnacentral:tRNA from 1 species
AGUUACUUAGCUUAUAUUCCAAAGCAAAUAUUUUGAAAAUAUUAGAAAGAGAGAUUUAGUAGCUU